CUGAUUGAUGGUGCUUGCACCUGAUUGACGUUGGAUCACCAGUGAGUGGCGGACGGGUGAGUAACACGUAGGUAACCUGCCCCGGAGCGGGGGAUAACAUUUGGAAACAGAUGCUAAUACCGCAUAACAACAAAAGCCACAUGGCUUUUGUUUGAAAGAUGGCUUUGGCUAUCACUCUGGGAUGGACCUGCGGUGCAUUAGCUAGUUGGUAAGGUAACGGCUUACCAAGGCGAUGAUGCAUAGCCGAGUUGAGAGACUGAUCGGCCACAAUGGAACUGAGACACGGUCCAUACUCCUACGGGAGGCAGCAGUAGGGAAUCUUCCACAAUGGGCGCAAGCCUGAUGGAGCAACACCGCGUGAGUGAAGAAGGGUUUCGGCUCGUAAAGCUCUGUUGUUGGAGAAGAACGUGCGUGAGAGUAACUGUUCACGCAGUGACGGUAUCCAACCAGAAAGUCACGGCUAACUACGUGCCAGCAGCCGCGGUAAUACGUAGGUGGCAAGCGUUAUCCGGAUUUAUUGGGCGUAAAGCGAGCGCAGGCGGUUGCUUAGGUCUGAUGUGAAAGCCUUCGGCUUAACCGAAGAAGUGCAUCGGAAACCGGGCGACUUGAGUGC
rnacentral:rRNA from 2 species